GAUAUUUUUCAUUUGUUUAUCUUUAAUGUUUUGUUUAUAUUUUAAUUAAAUGUCUUUUCUACAGAUAAAGGAUGGCAAACUUGAGUGUUAAAUAACGUUCAUUUGAAGUACACACUUUAUUUGGAUCGAAUUAAUUGUUAGUUACAACAGGCCCAUAGAAGUUUUCUUAUGAGUCAAAGUGUGGCAUAUUUAAUUUGAGUAUUUUCGGCGAAGAGGGGAGAACGGAAAAGCGUUUAAUUAAAAGUAAAAACACUGGCAAAUUGCGACCACAAAUAAAGCAACCAAUUGAAACGGCUGUGGAUAAAGCUUAAGGAAACAACAACCGGAAAGAACUCGGGAGUUCAAACCGCACGCAAGCCCAGACAGAUGUGCGGCAGGGGUUUAAGCAGACAGGUCCACGGCCAGAGUAAAAGCUGACACUGCGCUUACAUAACUCGUGUUAAUUUGAGUGGACGGAGGGGGUGCAGCUUACAUAAUUGACUGACGGGAUAAUUUACUUCCGUGCACUUGCGUGUUUAUUAAAUUUCUAGGGUUGUAUCCCAGCAUUGAUUCAGAAAACAAAAUCGCAGCCGUAGCUGUAGGACGAGCUGGAGCAGUGUGACAAUGGCAUUGGCAAUGCGAUAAACUGGUGCGGGCCAUACGUUGAUAUUUCGUAACCACAUGUAGUUACAUGUAUUCCUCAUUAGUUGCCCCAGCUCGAAGUCGUGACUGGCUUUGGCGGCAGCUAUUAAUUAAAUGAAAAAGAACAAUGGCACAAAAUUGAGGGAAAGCUAAAACAAUUGAUAAAUCAAAAUCGUAUAUUAAAUGACAGAAAUUCAAGUUAGUAAGUUAGUCAAAUACAAGUUUAAAUGGUUCCCAUAUGUAUACUUAGUUCCGAUUAAUGUCCCGUUAAAAAAUAUAGGGUUUAUAUCAAAUAAUAUAUUUCCAAAUACUUAAAAAAAAAAACAUUUUCUCAUAU